rnacentral:rRNA from 1 species
GACAGAGGCGGCGAGCGUUAUCGGGAGUCAUUGGGCGUAAAGGGUACGUAGGCGGCUAGUCAAGUCUGAGGUUAAAGACCACAGCUUAACUGUGGGAAGGCCUUGGAAACUGACUGGCUAGAGUGGGGCAGGGGUUGCGGGAAUUCCCGGUGUAGCGGUGAAAUGCGUAGAUAUCGGGAAGAACACCUGAGGCGAAAGCGCGCAACUGGGUCCUAACUGACGCUGAGGUACGAAAGCUAGGGGAGCGAAUGGG